GACGAACCGUGCGAACGUUAUUCGGAAUCAUUGGGCUUAAAGCGCGUGUAGGCGGAUUCGUGCGUCUGUCGCUGAAAUCCCCCGGCUCAACCGGGGAACGGGCGCGGAUACGACGAGUCUGGAGGGGCAUAGGGGGACCUGGAACUUCCGGUGGAGCGGUGAAAUGCGUUGAGAUCGGAAGGAACGCCCGUGGCGAAAGCGAGGUCCUGGAUGCCCUACUGACGCUGAGACGCGAAAGCCAGGGGAGCCGAACGGG
rnacentral:rRNA from 1 species